UGUGGCAUAYCUAAGGAGUUGCUUUAGCUUUUAAGAUAACAUAGCUGACUUUGAAUUUGCCUGAGUAAGAAUGGAGUCAGAUUUUUGCAGAAUCCUACCAGGKAAAAUUUACAUUUGCUCCAUAAAUGCAGCGUCUAAWCAUGUGCUUCUUUCGUGCAUUUUCCCAAGGGGAGAUGUAAAGCCUUCCUUUGAUUCACAUUCUGGCUUUUAAUGAAUACAUUUUAGUAUAAUUUAAGGUUUCUGGCGUGUUAUUAAAACCUGAAAGCAGUUUACCUCUGUGAUUCCAAGAGCGAUGCAAACGCCGCCGACCCACACCAGAUUCUUCAACAGAAAGAGCUUUAUAGCUGAGAUACACCCCUGAGGAAGAAGACAGAGUUUAACCGUUUGUCCUCAGAAACGUGCAGGAAUCUGGCACGGCUUCAUGGUUUCCCCAGCCCACACUUCUGGACCAGUCGGUCUUAAACUCUUUCUCCAGCAUUUGGCUCCUGAGCAUCUGCAGGAAACCUGGUCCGACUCCACAGUCUGGAAAAGACUCGAGGCCUCCGGCCUGAACACAGCAGUCUCCAUCUGAAAUUGCUUCGGGGUUCCCUGGAUUUUCUUUGUUCUGCAGAUCUUCUUAUGCUUCAAUCUCCUCACUGUUCUUUUCCUGAUUUUUCUCAGAGCGUAAGCCAGGCACAGUAGCCUUAGAGGGGACCACAACUUCUGGCAAAAAAAUAAAUAAAUA